rnacentral:pre_miRNA from 1 species
ACAACAUUUGGACUGUCGGUCUACCCAGCAAUUUCACCCGCUCGGUGCAAGAUCUUACCUUUGUUGU